AGGUCAAGCUACAAAGGGCGCAUGGUGAAUGCCUUGGCAUCAGGAGCCGAUGAAGGACGCGAUAAGCUGCGAUAAGCUUCGGGUAGACGCACAUAGUCAGAGAUCCGAAGAUUUCCGAAUGAGGAAACUCACAUGGGAAACCCCAUGUAUCGUAAAGUGAAUACAUAGCUUUAUGAAGGUAAACCCAGGGAACUGAAACAUCUAAGUACCUGGAGGAAGAGAAAGAAAAAUCGAUUUUCUUAGUAGCGGCGAGCGAAAGGGAAAGAGCCCAAACCAAAGAUUUAUCUUUGGGGUUGCGGACAGAACAUUAACGAGAAAUUAUGGUUAACCGAACACAACUGGAAAGUUGGACCGUAGGGGGUAAUAGUCCUGUAGGUGAAAAUUAUAAUGAUCAAGUUCUGAUCCAGAGUACCACGAGACACGUGAAACCUUGUGGGAAGCAGGGAGGACCACCUCCCAAGGCUAAAUACUACCUGAUGACCGAUAGUGAAGCAGUACCGUGAGGGAAAGGUGAAAAGAACCCCGGGAGGGGAGUGAAAUAGAACCUGAAACCAUGUGCCUACAACCGAUCAAAGCACCUUAUGUGUGUGAUGAUGUGCUUUUUGUAGAACGAGCCAACGAGUUACGGUAUGUAGCAAGGUUAAGUACUUAAGGUACGGAGCCGAAGGGAAACCGAGUCUUAAUAGGGCGACUAGUUGCAUGCUGUAGACCCGAAACCGGGUGACCUAUCCAUGGCCAGGUUGAAGCGAGGGUAAAACCUCGUGGAGGACCGAACCACGUUGCUGUUGAAAAAGCAUGGGAUGAGCUGUGGAUAGCGGAGAAAUUCCAAUCGAACUCGGAUAUAGCUGGUUCUCCUCGAAAUAGCUUUAGGGCUAGCGUCGGAAAAUGUGAGUACUGGGGGUAGAGCACUGAAUGGGCUAGGGGGCAUAGCGCUUACCGAACCUUAUCAAACUCCGAAUACCAGAUACUAUCAGUCCGGCAGUCAGACUGCGAAAGAUAAGUUCCGUAGUCAAAAGGGAAACAGCCCAGAUCGUCAGCUAAGGUCCCAAAGUGUAAGUUAAGUGGAAAAGGAUGUGGGAUUUCUAAGACAACUAGGAUGUUGGCUUAGAAGCAGCCACUCAUUAAAAGAGUGCGUAAUAGCUCACUAGUCAAGAGAUCCUGCGCCGAAAAUGUCCGGGGCUCAAACUUACCACCGAAGCUACGGGUUCACACAAUAGUGUGAGCGGUAGAGGAGCGUCGUAAUCGGGCUGAAGUCGUACCGUAAGGAGCGGUGGACUGAUUACGAGUGAGAAUGUUGGCAUUAGUAGCGAGAUGUGGGUGAGAAUCCCACAGGCCGAAUACCUAAGGUUUCCUCAGGAAGGUUCGUCCGCUGAGGGUUAGUCGGGACCUAAGCUGAGGCCGAAAGGCGUAAGCGAUGGACAAUCGGUUGAUAUUCCGAUACCACUAUUAUCGUUAUUAUCGAUGGUGUGACGGAGAAGGAUAGGAUGUGCUAGCUAUUGGAUGCUAGUCUAAGCGUUUAGGGAGUUAGGAUAGGCAAAUCCGUUCUAACAAUUCUGAGGCGUGAUGGGGAAGGUUCUAAGGAACCGAAGUAUCUGAUUCCAUGCUUCCAAGAAAAGCAUCUAGAAAGAGAAAUAGUGCCCGUACCGCAAACCGACACAGGUAGGUGAGGAGAGAAUCCUAAGGCCGGCGGAAGAAUUGCAGUUAAGGAACUAGGCAAAUUGACCCCGUAACUUCGGGAGAAGGGGUGCCUGCGAGAGCAGGCCGCAGAGAAUAGGCACAAGCAACUGUUUAACAAAAACACAGGUCUCUGCUAAAGCGAAAGCUGAUGUAUAGGGGCUGACGCCUGCCCGGUGCUGGAAGGUUAAGGGGAACACUUAG
rnacentral:rRNA from 1 species